rnacentral:rRNA from 1 species
UCGGGAAUAUUGCGCAAUGGAGGAAACUCUGACGCAGUGACGCCGCGUAUAGGAAGAAGGUUUUCGGAUUGUAAACUAUUGUCGUUAGGGAAGAAAAAGGACAGUACCUAAGGAGGAAGCUCCGGCUAACUACGUGCCAGCAGCCGCGGUAAUACGUAGGGAGCGAGCGUUAUCCGGAUUUAUUGGGUGUAAAGGGUGCGUAGACGGGCUUAUAAGUUAGUUGUGAAAUCCCUCGGCUUAACUGAGGAACUGCAACUAAAACUGUAAGUCUUGAGUGCAGGAGAGGUAAGUGGAAUUCCUAGUGUAGCGGUGAAAUGCGUAGAUAUUAGGAGGAACACCAGUGGCGAAGGCGACUUACUGGACUGUAACUGACGUUGAGGCACGAAAGUGUGGGGAGCAAACA